GAUGAACGCUGGCGGCGUGCUUAACACAUGCAAGUCGAACGGUGAAGCAGGAGCUUGCUCCUGUGGAUCAGUGGCGAACGGGUGAGUAACACGUGAGCAAUCUGCCCUGGACUCUGGGAUAAGCGUUGGAAACGACGUCUAAUACCGGAUACGAGGCGUGGGGGCAUCCCCAACGCCUGGAAAGAACUUCGGUCCAGGAUGAGCUCGCGGCCUAUCAGGUAGUUGGUGAGGUAACGGCUCACCAAGCCUACGACGGGUAGCCGGCCUGAGAGGGUGACCGGCCACACUGGGACUGAGACACGGCCCAGACUCCUACGGGAGGCAGCAGUGGGGAAUAUUGCACAAUGGGCGCAAGCCUGAUGCGGCAACGCCGCGUGAGGGACGACGGCCUUCGGGUUGUAAACCUCUUUUAGCAGGGGAGAAGCGAAAGUGACGGUACCUGCAGAAAAAGCACCGGCUAACUACGUGCCAGCCGCCGCCGUAACAC
rnacentral:rRNA from 1 species